GACACAAUUAAGAAAUGUUGAAUGCACAAAAUCUCGAUAUAAUGAGAAGAAUUGAUGGAGAUCUUGAGGAUCUUUCAUAAAUCCCAAAUAAAUACAGAAUACAAAUUAAUAAAAUAGAACACUGAAGACACAAUAAGCAAAAGCCGAUCAUUUCGAGAAGCAUACAUCAAAUUUUGGCGGAGGAAAUGGAGCUGCUAAUGAUAAGAGGACAAAAAGGAAUUAAAAGUCAUGGAAAUAGCGGAAAAUGAUUGAAUAGUUAAUAUCAGUAAUACGUUGGUGGAGGAGAUGCGGAUGGGGGUGGAGGUGAAGCAUAGGUAGCGGAUUGCUCGUACUUUUCAGGUGGUGGAGGUGAGGCAUAGGUGGGAGUUUGCUUGUAAUAGUUCGUUGGUGGUGGAGGUGAGUAAUAAGAUGGUGAUUUUUCGUAGCUAUAGUUCGCUGGUGGUGGAGGUGAGUAAUAAGAUGGUGAUUUUUCAUAGGUCUUUGGCAGAGAUGGCAAGUCGUAAGUUAUAGGUGAUUGCUCGUAGUAUUUUGGUAGCGGUGGAGGAGAUUUAUAGGAAGGUGUAGAUUCUUUAUAGUACGGUGGAGGUGGAGAUUUGUAAGAAGAUGGCGAUUGCUCGUAGUAUUUUGGUGAGGGUGGAGGAGAUUUAUAGGAAGGUGUAGAUGCUUCAUAGUACGGUAGAGGUGGAGAUUUGUAAGAAGAUGGUGAUUGCUCAUAGUAUUUUUGAGGAGGUGGAGGUGACUUGUAAUACGAAGGUGAUUUUUCAUAAUAAGCUAGUGGUGGUGGAGACUUGUAGUAUUUUGCGGGAGCUCGCGACUUGUAGUAUUUAGCGGGAGCUGGCGACUCGUAGUAUUUUUUGAGAGACGGCGCCUUGUAGUAUUUUGCGGGAGCUGGCGACUUGUAGUAGCUCUUUGAAGGAGCAGGCGAUGCGGGAGCUGGCGACUUGUAGUAUUUUGCGGGAGCUGGCGACUUGUAGUAUUUAGAGGGAGUUGGCGACUUGUAGUAUUUAGCGGGAGCUGGCGACUUGUAGUAUUUUGCGGGAGAUGGCGACUUGUAAUAUUUUGCGGGAGCUGGCGACUUGUAGUAGCUCUUUGAAGGAGCAGGCGACUUGUAGUAUUUAGGAGUAGUUUGCGACUUGUAGUAUUCAGCGGGAGCUGGCAGCUUGUAGUAGUCCUUUGAAGGAGCUAGUGAUUUGUAGUAUUUAGCGGGAGCUGGCGAUAUGUAGUAUUUUGUGGGAACUGGCGACUUGUAGUAUUUAGUAGGAGCUGGUGACUUGUAUUAUUUUGCAGGAGGCGCCUUGUAGUAUCUUACUGAAGCUGGUGACUUUUAGUAUUUUACGAGGAGCCGGCGACUUAUAAUAUUUUGCUUGAGCUGGUGACUUGUCGUAUUUUACGGGAACUGGCGACUUGUAAUAUUUUACGGGAGCUGGUGACUUGUAAUAAUGCUUUGCGGGAGCAGGUGACUUGUAGUAAGGAGUAGGUACAUGAUACUUGGGUGAAGAUGGUGAUUUGUAAAACUUCUUAGAAAUGUAAGAAGGUGAGGGAGAAGUAUACCCAUACGAGUAAUCAGCAAAAACAGUGUCGGCUACAAAGCAAAUUGCCAAAGCAGCAGCAAGAAGAGGCCAUUGCCCUAAAUUCCCAAAGCUUCUCAUUUUGCAGCUAUAUUGGGACAAGAGAAGGAUAGAACUAAGACUUGUGUUGCAUAGUUGAGUAAGGAACUCUAGUUUUAUACUGCAGGGAGACAUCUUUCUUUAACAUUUAUAUAACUGCAUCAUGGUUAACCACUAAGAUGAUAGCAAAGUCCAAAUAAAGACAUGGUCACUACUUAGUGGCAAGCAUUCUCCUGGUGAUAGAAAAAAAAAAGAAUAUUAAAUUGAAAAUGAAAUAAGGUUGCCACGACUGGUAUACAAUUGGUGAAGUUAAGGAAUUGACUAUUUGUUAUGGGUGUGGAGAGGAGGUUUCUUUCUUGUUUUCACAAUAUUUUCUUCUUCAAGUCCUUUUCUUUUACUCAAUUCUGGUUGAUAGUAAUAGUCUCUUUUGUUUCACGGGGUGUAAUUGUAAUUAUUCCUGUAAGGCUAAGUAACCAUUUCUGAUGUAUCUAACAUUUGAUUGCAUCUCAAACAAGAAGUUUAGUAAUAUUAAUAUUAGUCUCCAACAAACUAGAUGGUUUCUUCCUACCUAAGCAAAGUUGGUUAGAGUUACUCGCUACGUGUUCAGAUGGGAGGUGCCAAAUAUACCCAUUGGCGGAACCACCCCUUAUGGUGAGGGAGGCGUGGCACCCGCUAGGUUGAUAAAAAUUUAUAUACCUAUGCUGAAAUUUUUUUAAACUAAAUUAAAUAUAUGAUCCUACCACCCGAAAUCGCAAACUAAACAUAUAUGACAUUGUUGGGAGGCCUAUUUGGAAGAUUUUCUGUGUAAGACCCAAAUUAGAAUUUAGGUUAAAUUCUAUUUGGCUCCCGUUUUGUGUUUUAUAUUUGGAAAUUUUACUUCCUAUAGCAAAGGCAUCCACCCUAUUUAUUAUAAAUCAAAAUUAUUUAAAAAUAUUAUUUUUUAUAGCUACCUUUUAUAGUUUAUAGCAAAAUAAGUAUUUAUGGUAUAUACUACCAUUAAGGAAAUAUAAUUUUCUAUAGCUAUCUUUUAUAGUUUAUAGCAAAAUAAGUAUUUAUGGUAUAUACUAUCAUUAAGGCAUGAAAUAAGCUAUUUAUAUUUUUCCUCUUUCUUAGACAGCUGUAUAUACCUAUUUUUAAGGUAAUUGUCGUUACUGUGUUCAUGAAUACAUGGCGCGAAUACUCAUGCGCCUACAGUUGGACUGCCCUGAUUUUAGGGUUUUCUACUAUUGUAUUUGGGGUGUAUAAAGGAAACUGACAAACCCCCUGAUUUUAGGGUUUUCUACUAUUGUAUUUAGGGGUGUACAAAGGAAACAGACAAACCCCACUAACCCGAUAAUCUGAGUCAACCCGAGAAAAAAAAUCCGACUAUGAUUUGGUUUGAAUUGGCUUGGUGUUGGGAAAAAAAAUCAACCAUAAUUGGUUUGGUUUGAUUUUAACUAAAGAAAGUUAAACCAUAACCAAACCAACUCGACAUUACAUAUAUAGAAAACUUAGGUAUAUUUAAUAUAUAAAUAUACUUAUUAUGAUGUAAUUUAUAAAUAUUCCUUAAAAAUUUCAUAAUUUUAUCUUUUGAAUUAUUUUUUCAAGGUUGGACUUAUAACUUUUGUUCAAAUAAGUUUUAUAGCCAUUAACAUUAGUAAAUUAAAUAGUGCUAACAAAAGUUCAAACCAAAAUUAAAUCAAUAUUAAUACUGACAAAAGACAUUCAAUUCAAUACUACGAACGGGAAUGUAUUGAAUGUCUAUUUUUUGUUUUGUAAUAAUUUAGAUAAAAAUACAUAACCUAUUUUUAUUUUAUCUUUAGCGUUUCGCUAUGUAAUUAAUACUCCCUUGUUAGUCUACUUAUUUUAGCAUGACAGUACUUUUAGAUUAUAUUUAUUGUUAUUAUGGAUUUUUAACUAACAAUAUAUAUAUUACAUAAUUUUAUUGUCUUUAUUAAUGGAUUUUAGGAUAAUGCCAUGACAUCUCUCAUAUUUUGUAUUAUUUUCUUGAAAAAUAAUUUAUAUAGUUGUAUCUUACUAGGACUAAAGAAGUACUUUGAGCACAAUUUCUGUAUUUUGUUCGACGAAUAUUUUACGGGAAAAAAAUUGAAUAACCAAAAAAUCCGAGAAACCCAGAGUGAAAAACCCGAGUUUUGUUGGUUUGGUUUGGUGUUUAGAUUUAAUAACCCAACACAAUUGAUUUAGUUUGGUAAUUGCUAAAAUCCGAACCAACCCGAUCUAUGUACACCCCUAGCCGUAUUCAUGAAUACAGCAAUGCGAUACAUGUAAAUACAUGUGCGUACAGCUAGAUUGCCUUAAUUUUAGGCAUUUUUUGUUGUUGUAUUCAUGAAUACAUGUCGCGAAAACAUGUGAAUACAUAAGCGUACAGCUGGACUAUGCUGAUUUUAGGUACUUUUUAAUUUUGUAUGCAUGAAUACAUGUGCGUACAGCUGAAUUGUCCUGGUUUUUAGGCAUUUUUUGUUGUUGUAUUCAUGAAUAAUACAACAGCGUGAAUACAACAAAGACACUAUUGUAACAACUGAAUAAUAGCUAAAGGAAGUAAUUAUGUAGAUGAUAGCUAUCGGAAGUUAAUAGCCACUAAACAACAAUGGUUUCUAAACAUUCCACUUUAUAUUUCCUUUUGUCUUAUUCUUUCGCGUUUCGGUUAUCUCCCAAUUUCCUAUUUGUCUUUUUCUUAAUUUUCAUAUUUUUUUUUCCUUUAUUUUAUUAGUUUUUCUGUCACUUCAAACGAAUACACUCAAAAAAGCGGCUCCAAUUUGCGAGUUUUCUUCUUUCAAAAUCGAAAGGCUUGGGUCUCAAUGACAAUUUUAGAUUAUGAUCUAUUUUAAUAUUUUCAUUACUUCAUUUGUUCAUUAUAGAUUAAAAUCUAUUUUAAUUUUUCAUAAUUUCAUCUAUUCAUUAUCCAUACUAUAUUAAUAACACGAAAAUUCUUAGCAAAAUAUCGUUCGCCUUUUAUACCCCUUAAAAUUAGAUUUCACACUAAGCAAAAUAGUCAUUUUAUUAUUUUUCUAAUAUUUAAAAAUAGGAAUAGUCAUUUGCUAUUUGACAAAAAUAUUAGGAAUUCAAAAUCAACUAAAUUUUGUCCAUUAAAUCAUUCCCUAUUUGAACUAUGUAAUAUAAAAAAUUUAUAGAAUAAAAAAAUAACAAUAUUUAUAUUACAUAAUUUUAUUGUCUUUAUUGUUGGAUAUUUUAGGAUAAUGCCAUGACAUCUCUCAUAUUUUAUUAUUUUCUUGAAAAAUACUUUAUAUAGUUGUAUCUUACUAGGACUAAAGAAGUACUUUGAGCACAAUUUAUGUGUUUUAUUCUACGAAUAUUUUACCGGAAAAAAAUUUGAAUAACCAAAAAAUCCGAGAAACCGAGAGUGAAAACCCGAGUUUUAUUGGUUUGGUUUGGUUUUUAGAUUUAUUAACCCAACACAAUUGAUUUGGUUUGGUAAUUGUAAAAUCCGAACCAACUCGGCAUAUGUACACCCCUAGCUGUAUUCAUGAAUACAGCAAUGCGAUACAUGUGAAUACAUGUGCGUACAACUAGAUUGCCUUUGUUUUAUGAAUUAUUUGUUGUUGUAUUCAUGAAUAUAUGCCGCGAAUACAUGUGAAUACAUGCGCGUACAGCUGGACUGCGCUGAUUUUAAGUGCUUUUUAAUUUUGUAUGCAUGAAUACAUGGUGCGAAUACAUGUGCGUACAGCUGGAUUGUCCUGAAUUUUAGGCAUUUUUUGUUGUUGUAUUCAUGAAUACAACAGCGUGAAUACAACGAAGACACUAUUAUAACAACUGAAUAAUAGCUAGAGGGAGUAAUUAUGUAUAUGAUAGCUAUAGGAAGUUAAUAGCCACUAAACAAUAGUGAUUUCUAAAAAUUCCUCUUUAUAUUUCCUUUAGUCUCAUUCUUUCGCUUUUUGGUUAUCUCCCAAUUUCCUAUUUGUCUUUUUCUUAAUUUCCAAAUUUUUCUUUCCUUUAUUUUAUUAGUUUUUUGUCACUUCAAGCGAAUACACUCAAAAAAGCGGCUCCAAUUUGCGAGCUGUCACGACCCAAACUCGUUCGUGAUGGCACCCGGCCGCGAGGAUAGGCAAGCUUGACCAAACCACAAUUAAGAACGGCAUCCCAGCCCAAAGAGAAAUAGUUUAGGAAUAACCAGCGAAAUUCAAUAACAAACUCUCAACCCAAGGGGUAAUUCAUACCCAAGAAAAACAUAGCUGAAUAAUAAUCCUCCCUAAAACCGAGGAGUCACGAGUCCAGAGCCUCUAACAAAACAGAAUGCAAGUCUGAAUGGAAAUGAUACAGAGUCUGAUAAAAUAGCAAAAGAACAUGACUGAUAGAGACAGACUAAGUGGUCCUGCGGAUGCUGGGCAGCUACCUCAAUACCCUUAAUAGCUCGAAAAUCAACAGCAGCAGAACUAAGUCUCUGGAGCACCCGAAUCUGCACACAAGGUGCAGGGAGUAUGGGGUGAGUCUACAACCCCAACGAGUAAUAAGCAUGUAUAAAAACCCGAAAGCAGGAUAUCCACAAUAAAGCACAGAGUAAAGCUAGUUAAACAGUUCUAUACAGUACAAGCCUCAGAUAAAUCCAUAUAAAGCAAUAGUAAAUAAAUGCAUGAGAUGCAAUGCAAUGCAUGACCUCUACGGAACGUGCGGUCGGACUAAGCCAUAGUCCCCAAUCAUAAUCGACCGCGCACUCGUACUAGAGUAUGUGUCGCGCCUCAAUACAGUGCCACAAUGUGAUAUACCGGGGUUUUGAACCCUCGGGGCAUCAGCUACACCAAUUACUCACCUCAAGCCGACCGCAAACUAGCUCGUAAUGCCUUUACCUCGAGAAUCAACCUCCGCGGAUGCCAAAUCUGCUCAAAACAAUAGGAAUACGUCAAAAUAGACUAAUGGAACAUAACCCAAUUGAAAUAUCUCGAAAUACACCCAAAACACGAAGUUGGCAAAACCCGAGCCCUGAGCCCACUUCUCGAAAAAUUACGAAAUUCACAUCACCGGAGUUCUCGUCUUGCCACAAGUCCGUACAUAUCAAAUUUACAAGAAUCGGAGUCCUUUUGACCCUUCAAAUUAACACUUUAAGCUCAUUUGGAAUUCAAGCCCUAACUACCUUUUUUAACUUCAAAAACUUUGAAUUCUUAGUGUUUAAUCCAUGUUUUUACACUAUAAUGACAUUCAAAUCAACACUUUAAGGUUCACCUGUGUUUCAAGCCCUAACCACCAUUUUUGACACUAAAGACCUUGAUUUCUAAGUAUUUAAUCCAUGAUUUAGCACCAUAAUCACAUAUUCGAGGUCUAAGAGAUCAUACUUGAAGAAUCCCAUCGAAAAUCUCUCCAAACCUCUCUUAUUCGCCUCAGCCCGAAGUUCUAUUGUUCUUCUCCUUUUCAAAAUAUUAAACCCUCUGAUUUCUUCAUAUUUUCGGAAUCCUCGUCGUGCCACGAGUCCAUAUAUAUCAAAUUUACAAGAAUUGGAGUCCAUUUGACCUCUCAAAUCAAUACUUUAAGGUUCACUUGGGUUUCAAGCCCUAACCACCAUUUUGACAUUAAAGACCUUGAUUUCUAAGUGUUUCAUCAAUGAUUUAGCACCAUAAUCACAUAUUCGAGGUCUAAGAGAUCAUACCUGAAGAAUCCCCUCGAAAAACUCUCCAAACCUCUCUCAAUUGCCUCAGCCCGAAGUUCUAUUGUUCUUCUCCUUUUAAAAACUUUAAACCCUGUGAUUUCAUUAAAACUGGACGAUUUCCUCUUCCGCGGUAUUUUUCCGCUUCAACAGUCCUCGCUUCCGCGUCCAGUUGAUUGCUUCCACGGUCUGCCUAUUUCUUCAGCGGCCGCUUCUGCGGUCGAUCUACCGCUUCCGCGACUCCCGCGUAAGCGGUCCCUUUGACCGCUUGUGCGGUCUCUUGCUUCCCCCUUGACCGCUUAUGCGGCUUAUUGUCCACUUCUGUGGACACCCGCUUAAGUGGUCUCCCUGCCAUUUUCCCAAAAAUACCAGAAGCAACAACCAUUUUUCAAGCUUAACUCCAAAAAGUCCUCGUUUAACUAUCUGAUAUCACCCCGAGGCCCCCGGGGUCCAAACCAAAACACAAUUAUGACCAAAUACCUCAUUCAAACUUGCUUGAGCCAUAAAACACUAGCUUAAAAACCAUUAAUCACCAAAAUCAUCAAAUCAAAGCCUAAGAUAUACAUGAACCUCUCAAAAUCUCAUUCGAUGCCGAAACCAACCAAACGAAGCCCGAAUGACCUGAAAAUUUGGAGACAUAACCAGAAUCACCUAACUAAGCUACUGCAACUCUUGAAAUUCCAUUCCAACCUCCGGAUCAGAAUUUCGAAACCAACCAAACGAAGCCCGAAUGACUUGAAAAUUUGCAGGCAUAACCAGAAUCACCUAACGAAGCUACUGCAACUCUUGGAAUUCUAUUCCGAACCCCAGAUCAAAAUCUCACCUAUCAACUGGAAUUCGGCGAAAUUCAACUUAGCCAAUUCAAGCCUAAUUCUACACCGGGCCUCCAAAUUCAAUUCCGCCUUCUCUCCCAAGUCACAAAUCACCAUCCGAAACUAGUCGAAUAGCCGAAAAUUCGUUCCGAGCCCUCUAACUCAUUAGUCAACAUCUGGUUGACUUUGCCAACUUAAUCUUUCCUUAAAGAGAAUAUUGGUCGAAUGGCCGGAAAUCCAUUCCAAGCCCUCUAACUCAUAAGUCAAUAUCCGGUUGGUUUUGCCAACUUAAGCUUUCCAUAAAGAGACUAUUCAUCUCAUUUCUAACCAAAUUAAACCCAACAUAUUUCCAACUCACCAAAAACAUAUAUCAACACACGGGGAAGCAUAAUACGGGGAUAAUGGAGUUGAAAUAUGGAAGACGACGGGUCGGGUCGUCACAUCCACCCCAACUUAAGCAAACGCUCGUCCUCGAGCAUACCUAGAAUUGUACUAGAAGCAACCCAGUAACCACACGACAUUUCCAGUCAUAUGAUCGGGGUGAUCCCACGUCACCCUAACUCACAUAGGUACCGAUAACACAACACAGCUAAAAUUUCACAAUCCAUCUGGACCAUAAAUCGUAGAACCACACUGCACUACCCGAAAUCACACACAAGAUCAGAACCUUGCAUCCAUACUCAAAAUCAAUUCGAACCAGCUGUAAUAACCCACACCUGCAACCUCAGGUGAACUCAUACAAUAUACACCACAUUCCAACACUCGGAACAAUAGUCUCUAUUCACAACAGUUUCCCACAGUACUCAAUUACCAAUAGGAAACCUCUUAUCUAGCUAAAGUCUUAUUCCAACACUUCCGCAUAUUGCCAACGAUCACUAAAACACGCAACAAACCGUAGCAGUUCUUCAGAUCAACCGUUCAUGAAGUCACUUCCAAGUUGACUAUUACCACAAAUGAUUUUUUUUUUGGCCAAACCUCGAUGUUACCACUCUAACCAGCUGAAAUCAAAUCUGCUCAUACUUAUUAGUAACCCAAUGAUCACCUCGAAUCAAUCACACCACUUCGGGUGAUAUGGUGCCUCAAUACAGGCCUAAGCCACAAUUGCAUAAUACACGCGCUAAUAAGGAACAGUCUAUACAUACCCAAAUCAGGCAAAUGACUCAACCAGAAGAGUUAUGCCUCACGCUCAUCAAUACCUUCACAAAACCAAAUUGAGACCCAGUCUCACGUCAUAUGAAUAGAGUACCUAAAUCCUCCUCGAGAGGUCAUAACUUCACGUAGCCUCGCCACAACACGCGAUCCUAUCCCAACACCGUUACACAUGAAGCGCCUCGUGUUACCAUGCUCACAGUAGAAAGCCAUGCACAGAUCUAUGCCUGAAACCAAAUUACCCCUCACACUCACGGGGAAACAAGUAAAAUACCCUAUUCAGUCCUGAAAGGACACAACCGAUACACUAUCCGCCAAAAAAUUCUCAAUAAGGAGUUUCCUCAGAAGCCGGGAAGCAAUGAUUACAAAGCAACACAUGGAAAGCUAUUCUCAACCUCACACUGUUGCGGCGCGGGGAGUUUCCUCAGAAGCUGGGAAGCAAGGAUUACAAAGCAACACAUGGAAAGCUAUUCUCAACCUCACACUAUUGCGGCACGCAACCCGAUCCAGAUAACAUACUUGUGGCGGCGUGCCACCCGAUCCACACAAUAUCUCACAUAGGGAGGUGCACAUCGAGCCAAAUUCACAUGGAAAGCUAUUCUCAACCUCACACUAUUGCAGCGCGCAACCCGAUCCAGAUAACAUACUUGUGGCGGCGUGCCACCCGAUCCACACAAUAUCUCACAUAGGGAGGUGCACAUCGAACCAAAUUUGCUCAUAACAACAAAAUACCAACAUCGGCCGAAGAAGCUGAGUGCAUAAAGAUAUCUUAUUAGCGUUAUAAGCUACAAAAUUCCACUCCCACUAUUAUGACUCAUGAAGAAGCCGCACGACAUAGUGCCCAGAACCAGAUAGUUACUUAAAUCCACAGUCUCGCCCGGCGACAUGCCCGACUACAAGGACGUAUCUGAAAAGUCCCUCAAUACAUGAACCGAAAUCAAUGGUAAAAACCUCUAUGCUGAAACCCGUCUCGAAGGCCCAAUUAAGGAACGCAAUUCUUCCCAGAUGAUCGCUAGUCUUUGGUACACAACCAUCCAGCUGGAACAUUGUCCGAUACACCCCCGCCACGCGACCUGUGGCAUUUACCAACAUUACUCAUAGCACAAUCAUUUAGAAUAAUCUGACACUAAGACACUCACUCUACAUCCCCAUAACAUAUCCAGAAUUUAAUAUACUAAGCAAGGAAAUAUCCACUCGGCUUCCGAAUUCCCAAUAGCCGGUGACAGUACCAAUACAACACACACGAUCCUCAAUUAUUGCAUAAACUGCAUCGGAGAACUCCCAGUCUCCAACUACUCAUAGCACAUGAAUCAACGUGCUUGAUCCAAAUUUCCACAAUGCGAAAUACAGAUUACACCUCAAGUACCCCAACUAUUCCACGAGGGAUAUUUUUAAAAUCCAAUGCGUCAUCAAAUAACUCAUAUAUCCGCAGUCGAUUCCAUAAGGAAUUGUCGUAACACUAUUGAUGUAUCAUUUGUGAUAUUGCCCUCUUUCUGAAACUUAUGCUAUCGUCAAAUCACUUCCACUUAACAGUACCAAUUCCUUGAUAACCUGAAGCUACUCAUUACCUAAGACGUAGCCAAAUUCACAAUACCUUUCAGAACUGAGUCGAAAACUCGCCCACGACCAUUUCGGUAUUUUACAGCAUACCAUAUACCCAAUAUUCUCUAGGGAUAACACGAGAACUUCCAUCUCCCUUCUGCGCCACAGACAUCGUCGCACCCAACUAGUCUAGGACUUUCAAUGAUUCCCUUUAGAAGAAAAAUUUAUUAUAAACUCCAUGUUCUGCAUGCCCAUAGCAAAUAUACAUCUCCAAACCACGAUGAAACUCAACAAGAAUUCUCUCCCAAUUCCAUUUGCACAAGUUAAACUGCCUAGGACGGAAUCUCUGUAUCUGAUCCAAGCUAAGCAGACUUUCAAUACUCAGGACACUUCGCUGCCCAACGCUGGUAAGAACCCAUUACCUCAACACAUACCACGAUUGAUCAUAUCUAUACCAUACCGAUUCAGGCCCCUAACAAGUUACUCCAUUUGUCUCGAUUCCCACCUGAUUCAUUUUUCAACUAGAUAUACUCUCUUGCUGUAGCACCGCAAUAUCUCAACCAAGUAUCACUAUGCGAGACCCAACACCAGACCACACCGUCUAGGAUCCAUAGGCACUGAAUGCUUUCUCAAAUGUGCUCUAAUUACCACAUUACAAAAAAUUUUACCCGAAGAACUUUCUGCAAAUCAAAAUCGGUUACCCUUACUUUCCAAAUACUGAUACCUAGAAUCCUGUAAUCAAUAUAGAAAUACCACAAGUCUUGACAUAUGCUAAUGAAAACACUAACUUGGUCACAUACUCAGCCUCAAAACACCAGAGUGAUACCUAACGAAUUUCGAUCACAUCAAUAACUAUUCUCAAAAGUAUACCACUCUUAUACACACUCCAAUUCACUUGACUUAAUGAGUCGAACCACUUGUGCCUUAUCAUAACUCUGACACAGCGGGACGAGAUCUUAUUUCGAUACAACCAAACAACUUUUUCUUCCUUACGCCAAGCAUUCUUUAUUAUCAGCUCGAGACAUUCCCAUAUUUUCCCACAUCUGCGAAGCACCAUAUAACCAUUGGCAAAAUUCCACUUCACUCGCACCACCCUCAGCUCCCUUUCUGCAAGAAGAACUGAUUCAGUCACAUGCAUCAAAUCGGAAUUAACAGAGUACGUAAUAAUACGACCAGCGCAUCCACAACAACCUCCCCAACUUAGCUCGAAGCCAUUUACAUUACAAUGCAUAUGCUCUAUUGCUACCGUAAUAUCACGGUGAUAUUAAACUUACUCUUUCACAAGCUUGUGGAAACACGAAUCAUCAGAAAUUCUAACUUUCCCCCAAUUCUUCCAUUCAUUCACACAACCGUUAAGCUCACCCUUAAGGCGUCAAAAUUUCUUCUAAGUCCCAAAUUUCCAGAAAUUUUGGCAGAGUUUCCUUUGUAAUUGAGCAUAUCCACCUGUCAGAGAAUUGCCAAAACCAUCCUAACAACACGUCCAAACUCGAUGUAGCAUCACAAUGUAUAACAACAACCUUAAUCUCGAUACUACAUGUAUUACAUCAUCAAAAUUGAUACCUGAACAUGCGCUCCAAAACCAUCCUAACAACACGUCCAAAACUCGAUGUAGCAUCACAAUGUAUACCAACAACCUUAAUCUCGAUACUACAUGUAUUACAUCAUCAAAAUUGAUACCUGAACAUGCGCUUCACAUGUUCGAAUCAUAACAUAUAGAAAAUUGCAUCUUAAUUACACAUACGAUCUUCUAACAUACACAUAAUGAUCAUACCACUUUGGAAUAAUCUACGCGAGAUACCCACCUGCUUGCUUCAAUAUAAUAUUUCGGUACAGCAUCCACCGUCAUACUCUUCACGCAAUCACUGCGGAACGUCAGAAAAAUGCAUCUCAAUUACACAUACGAUCUUCUAACAUACACAUAUUGAUCAUACCACUUUGGAAUAAUCUGCGUGAGAUACCCACCUGCUUGCUUCAAUAUAAUAUUUCGGUACAUCAUCCAUCGUCAUACUCUUCACGUAAUCAAUUUGUCUUCCUGAGUCUGGACUCAUACAAAAACACACACACUCCCAGUUAGGAGACUCGAAAACAUUCUUCAUGCCCCCAUACCUCGGGCCACAUCUCUAUUUCACAAUGAGAAUCAAAAAUUUAAUGGUUCGUCUACCACCUAGAAGACCUUCUUCAACACUUUCAAGUCAACACACAUUACAUGGAACCAACAUACACACCACGUAGCUAUCCAGCCGCCAUCACCAUUAUUAGGGACAAUACUGAACUUAUAAGCUCAUAACACUAGCUCCCUCAAUCAACACCUUGGUGCUCAAGCCAUAGACAGAGAUUCGGCCUCAAGUCCUCCAGACUGACCCAACAUCAACUCAUAGGAAUCAUAAUUCGCCCCUCGAUAGAGGAAUCACCAACCAUCAAGGCACAUAUAAUAUUGGACGCUCACGGACGCAUACAAACGUGAGGAAGGAACUUCAAGUGUUACCCCUUCAAACUGAAUCAAGAACGCAGAAUAAGAUUUAAAAAAAGUGGAGUGUUUCCUAAUGGUUUUGUAGCCUCCUACUUAUAAGUGUGGUGCACGACACACCCAUACACAAGACUCUACUAAACCGGCUCAUGACUCGUGGGGCCUCGUAACCUAGUCUCAGAUACCAAGUUGUCACGACCCAAACCCGAUCGUGAUGGCGCCCGGCCGCGAGGCUAGGCAAGCCCGACCAAACCACAAUUAAGAACGGCAUCAAAGCCCAAAGAGAAAUAUAUUAGGAAUAACCACCGAAAUUAAAUAACAAACUCCCAACCCAAAGGGUAAUUCAAACCCAAGAAAAACACAGCUGAAUAAUAAUCCUCCCAAAAACCGAGGAGUCACGAGUCCAGAGCCUCUAACAAAACAGAAUACAAGUCUAAACGGAAAUGAUACAGAGUCUGAUAAAAUAGCAAAAGAACAUGACUGAUAGAGACAGAGUAAGUGGUCCUGCGGACAUUGGGCAGCUACCUCAAUACCCUUAAUAGCUCGAGAAAUCAACAUCAGCAGCACUAAGUCUCUGGAGCACCUGAAUCUUCACACAAGGUGCAGGGAGUAUGGGGUGAGUCUACCAACUCAGCGAGUAAUAAGCAUGUAUAAAAAUCCGAAAGCAGGAAAUCCACAAUAAAGCUUAGAGUAAAGCUAGUUAAAUAGUUCUAUACAGUACAAGUCUCAGAUAUAUCCAUAUAAAGCAACAGUAAAUAAAUGCAUGAGAUGCAAUGCAAUGCAUGACCACUGCGGAACGUGCAAUCCGAUCUAUUUGGGUACCCACGCUCACUUUGGGGGUUCAGACUCCGGAGGGGCUCCUACAGCCCAAGCGCAAUAUCAUAGUAACAUACGCUGCGCUGCACAACCCGAUCCACUAUAAGUCCAGCUACAUGCAUGCAAGCCUCACAGGCACAUAUAUCUUGCCAUUUCUAGUUCAGUUUAUUAGAAAUCAUAGGAUUAGGUGUCAAACCUCAAUAUUUACCAAAUCAUGUUAAACAGUAUUUUAGUGCAGGAUUGAUGUCAUGAAAACAUGCUAUAAUGCGUAGAAACAGUGAUAACGAUCCUCAAGAGAUCCAAAUAACCGGCGCGUAGCCUAAAUAUAUUCAAAACCUUCCAAGUAGGAGGUUUACCGCCAAUCUAUAGCCAACAACAGCGCAUAAUGACACUAGGUCGGACUAAGCGCGCAGCCCAAAUAUAUUCAUAACCAUCCAAGUAGGAGGUUUACCGGCCAAUCUAUAGCCAACAACAUCGUAUAAUGACACUAGGUCGGACUAAGCCAUAGUCCCCAAUCAUCGACCCCGCACUCACAGUAGAGUACGUAUCUCGCCUCAAUACAGCGUCACAAUGUGAUAUACAGGGUUUCAAACCCUCGGGUCAUCAUCUCCACCCAUUACUCACAUCAAGCCGGCCGCAAACUAGCUCGUAAUGCCUUUCCCUCGAGAAUCAACAUCCACGGAUGCCAAAUCUACUCAAAACCAAUAUGAAUACGUCAAAAUAGGCUAACGGAACAUAACCCAAUCGAAAUUCAUCGAGAAUCAACCUCCAUGGAUGCCAAAUCUACUCAAAACCAAUAGGAAUACGUCAAAAUAGGCUAACGGAACAUAACCCAAUCGAAAUAUCUUGAAAUACACCAAAAAAUACGAAGUUGGCAAAACCCGAGCCCCGGGCCCACUUCUCGAAAAAGUAUGAAAUUCACAUUUUCAGAAACCUUGUCUUGCCACGAGUCCAUACGUAUCAAAUUUAUAAGAAUCGGAGUCCAUUUGACCCCCUCAAAUCAAAACUUUAAGGUUCACUUGGGUUACAAGCCCUAACCACCAUUUUUGACAUUAAAGACCUUGAUUUUUAAGUGUUUAAUCCAUGAUUUAGCACCAUUAUCACAUAUUCGAGGUCUAAGAGAUCAUACCUGAAGAAUCCCCUUGAAAAUCUCUAAAAACCUCUCUUAAUCGCCUCAGCCAGAAGUUCUAUUGUUCUUCUUCUUUUCAAAAGAUUAAACCCUGUGAUUUCAUUAAAACUGUACGACUUUCGCUUCCGCGGAAUUUUUCCGCUUCAACGGUCCACGCUUCCGCGUCCAGUUGAUUGCUUCCGCGGUCUGCCCAUUUCUUCAGAGGCCGCUUCUGUGGUCGAUCUACCGCUUCCGCGACUCCCGCGUGAGCGGUCCCUUUGACCGCUUCUACGGUCUCUGGCUUCCCCCUUGGCUGAUUCUGCGGCUUAUUCUCCUCUUCUGCGGACACCGCUUAAGCGGUCUCCCUGCCUCUUCUACGAAAAUACCAGAAGCAACAACCAUUUUUCAAGCUUCACUCCAAAAAUUCCUCGUUUAACCAUCCGAUAUCACCCCGAGGCCCCCGGGGUCCAAACCAAAACACAAUUAUGACCAAAUACCUCAUUCAAACUUGCUUGAGCCAUAAAACACUAGCUUAAAAACCAUUAAUCACCAAAAUCAUCAAAUCAAAGCCUAAGAUAUACAUGAACCUCUCAAAAUCUCAUUCGAUGCCGAAACCAACCAAACGAAGCCCGAAUGACCUGAAAAUUUGGAGACAUAACCAGAAUCACCUAACGAAGCUACUGCAACUCUCAAAAUUCCAUUCCAACCUCCAAAUCAAAAUCUCACCUAUCAACCGGAAUUCACCGAAAUUCAACUUAGCCAAUUCAAUCCUUAUUCUACACCGGGCCUCCAAAUUCAAUUUCGCCUUCUCUCCUAAGUAAAAAAUCACCAUCCGAAACUAGUCGAAUAGUCAGAAAUCCAUUCCGAGCCCUCUAACUCAUAAGUCAACAUCUAGUUGGCUUUGCCAACUUAAGCUUUCAUUCAAUAGACUAUUGGUCUCAUAUAUCAACACACGGGGAAGCAUAAUAUGGGGAUAACGAGGCUGAAAUGCGGAAGACGACGGGUCGGGUCGUCACACGGGCGACUUUUAGCACUUCGGGGAAGCGGGUGACUUGUAGAAUUUUGCAAGAGCGGGCGACUUGUAUUUCACGGGAAUGGGCGACUUGUUGAAUUUCGCAGGAGCUCGCGACUUGUAGUAGUUCUUAAAAAGAGCGGGUGUCACCAUUUACCCUUUUCGAACUAUUAACACUAUGAGACCUAAAAAGUACUGUUCAUACUCCCCUUGACCAUAAUAUUUGCUUAAGAUUGACUAAUUGCAUUUUAUCUUCAUAUCUGCUAAUAUUUCACUCAAUCCUUGUUCAUUUAGUUGAUUAAUUUUUUUUAUUUCAUUAACAUUAGACGGUAACUUCUUUUUCUUCCCGUUUUUAUUUUAUUUAUUAGCUUAGGAUAGUGUAAUGGUUGGAUUUUGUGUAUUUUGUGACCUUGUUGAACUAAGUAAAUUGAGUAGGGACAAGUUAGGUGGAAAAUUUGAACAAAUUGCAAAAACUGAAACCCUAGCUUAGUGUCUGAAAUGUGAACCCUUCGCGGACCGUGGUCACUUUGGUGCGGUCUGCGGUGCUAUGAUACCGUCCACGAUACCAUUCUUUGCGACCCACAGUGUUCAAGUGUUUCAAACUUGAUUUGUGGCAAACGCGACUGCAUUGCACUUUGUGCGAUCCACGCUGGCCCACCGCUGCCGCAAUACCAUUUUGUGCGGACCGCCGUGGAGGGAUUCAGAGAGGGGGUUUUCAGGACCCUUCCCCAAUGAGGAUCGCAGUCGCCUUUACGUGGUCCGUGGUGCACCCAAUGCGGCCGCAUUCCUUUGUGGUGCAAGCCGUAGUGUGUUGUUCUGUAACAUUGCUCUACAACUUUUGCUCUAUUGUUCUGUAAUUCAUUUCCAUUAUAUGCUUCGCUGCAUGUACUUAAACAAACCAUGUUAGAUGUGUGAGCUUGCAUACUGUGGUCAAACAAAGAGGUAGAGGUGACAAAUAACCCGGCCGAGGUGGCUCCUCCUAAGGAGGUAAAGGAAAAUAAGGAAAACUCACUCCCCAACCUAGACAAAAUACAAGGAAAGCAACCAAGGUUGCUGAUACAGCCGGUGACCAAUCAGGGAGUGAGUACAUACCUUCUCAAGACCUCUCCUCUUACUCGGUGCCAGCUCACUCAGUUCCAGCUUCACCCACUGCCCAAGCUCCACAGCGUAUAUCUUCUGAGUCAAUUGACGGAUUAGCACCGGUGAGUCCUCCACCUCCCCCUCAUCUUCAAUAUCCGAGGAGAGUGCAGGCGGAGGCGCUGAGGGUGAUAAUGAUAGUGAUGAGGAUGUGCCUCAGAGUGGUGUGCCUCAGGUUCGGGGUAUUGACCAAACAAGAAACCCCACAGUCUGGGAGGACAGAUUUGUUAGUCAUGUGGCUUUUCAUAAAUUCAGGGUAUGGUGGCCAUUACGAAAGCUGAUUCUAGAAAGAAGUUUUAUUAACUGAGACUUGUUACCCCUAAUCAAAAUGUGCAUAUACAUUUUCAAGCUUGAAGUGGUUGGGACCAUUUUAGGGAUGAUUUUAUAAAGGCAAAUGAGAACAUGGUCAAGGAUUUCUAUUACAAUGUGGCUCACAUCGCAAAGGGCACAAAAGUGACCAAAGUACGGAACAAGACUGUGGUGUUUUCUGGGAAGGCACUAAAUGAGUACUUAGGGUUCAAUGAUGAGCAAAGGGCACAAAAGUGACCAAAGUACGAAACAAGAAUGUCGUGUUUUCUGGGAAGGCACUAAAUGAGUACUUAGGGUUCAAUGAUGAACAUGAGACCCUGUACAAUGAGAAGUUGUCAAUGAGAGAGGAGGUCCAUCCGUGGUUAUCUGCGUACCAGGCAAUCCCAGGUACAGUUCCAGAAUGGUUACAAGUAGGGACCAAAAUACUUCGGAGGACUCUAAAUUUUGAAGAUAGGGGUGGUUGACCUUUGUAUGCAGUCGACUUGGCCCCACUUCACAUAAUCAAACCAUUCCACUUGCUCGGGUUGUUCUUAUUGCUUCUAUUAUGGCGGGCUACCCUAUCAACAUGGGCAAUGUGAUGUCUCGUAUGAUUUCUACGGUGGGGGUUGAGCAUGACCGAAACUACCCUUUUCCCAACACACCAUGUACUUCCGGGACUUGAACAUGGAGAAUAAUCCCUUUGAUGUCAAGGUCAAACCAGUAGCUCCGUUCUCGUGGUACAUCUUAAAGGGGCCAGACAACCCCAAAGACAAGAAUUACAAUCCAUAUGCCUCUUCCUCAACUGGCCAAUUUGAGGAGCCGGUUGCGGUAGAGCCUUCCACUGAGCCUGCUGCUACUACCACUAACAUGCCUCUAGGACCUUCCACUUUGAGGAGCCGGUUGCGGUAGAGCCUUCCACUGAGCCUGCUGCUACUACCACUAACGUGCCUCCAGGACCUUCCACUACUGCUGGUCCCUCUACUUCAGCUGGCCCCGGGAUCCCAUCUUCCCAUACCUAUCAUAUCACUUCUCAUCAGCUGAGCAAAUAUUGCAUAACUUGAAUAACUGGAUGUCAGCUGCAUCAUCAAUGAUAUCUAUCAUGUCUUCCACUACUGAGGCUUAGUUAGCACUACAGACAGCUCAGCUCGCACAAUCCAUAGAGGAUACGUUGAAGAAGAUCCUGGAGAACCAGGAAAAGAUCAUGGGUACCCAGACUGCCUUGUCUAAGGUAGUGGAUGCACAUGGCAAGGCUCUGAAGAAGCUUUCCUGGGAGCACACGAAAAUGAUAAAAACACGGGCUUCCAAGGCCUUUGUGAAGAGUCUUAGAGAGGAUGUGGACAAGCUGAUGGCACACCAGAUGCCUUUAGACUUGCUAUUUGAGGAUCCAGCCCCAGCAAAAACACCAACAGUAGAGCCACAACUGGAGCAUACACAUAUGCUUCCUAGGAAGAAGAGGAAGCUCCCUAGUGCAGACAAGGCGAUCAUCCAGUUGGCGGACCCACCGGAGGAAUCCUCCAGUCAGUCAUAGGAUACUCCUUAUAUUCAGUCCGUCCAGGUCCAGGCCGCAGUCCCAGCAGCUAAGAAGCAGGAGAUCGGGAACUAGUCUGAGGUUCCCACACAUACAGAGGACCCGGGGACCACUCAUGUUCCCAUGAAGACGGACAAGUCUUAGGGAGUUCCCAUAUCCUUUCCUUAUAUUUUUUUGGUGCUUAUCUGUUUAGUUCGCAUUGGGGACAAUGCCAGCUCUUAUUUGAGGGGGUGCGCCCUCCAUUUUAUCCAUUGGAUGAUUGUAUAUAUAGAUUGAUGUAGUUUAUUCUUUCUUAUGAUUUUCUAUUUGGUAGUUUGAUGCUUAUCUGUUUAGUUCGCAUUGGGGACAAUGCCAGCUUAUAUUUGAGGAGGUGAUCCCUACAUUUUAUCCAUUGGAUGACUGUAUAUAUAUUUGGUCUGUAUAUAAAGUUACAUUAUUGUAUAUAUUCAUCCCCCGUUAUAUAUCAUGAUCCCCUAUAGUAUAUAUUCAUUCUAUUUUCUAUUUUCGUAAAAACAAAUUGCUUCGUAGAUAGGCUCGUAGUCUUUUGUUUCAUUUUUGGCGCUUUCAAUAAACCUUUGGUUUUCUUAAUUUCACAGUUCUUUCCAAAGGUGGAGUAUUGUGUUAACCGGGUGUCUCUUCCCGAUGAUGCAUGGCGACAACCUUCUUAAGGGUUUGAGUCCGUUUCUGUUUUUCUUUUGAUUUUAUUAGUUUAUAGUUAAGGGUACCGAAAGCAAAGCUUCACUUGGGCCUAGCACAUUUUCCUUUGAUCCCACGGUUAAAUACAAAAUACUGUGUUUAGGAUGGUGAAAGUUGUAACCUUGAGACUCUCGUGUUGACUGACAAUCAUCAAAAUAGUUUUUUAGACCAUUAUGUGCUUGAAUCAUAACUAAGGUAGUUGUGGGCCCUCGAGUCGAUGUCCUUAGCAAUCCCCUAGAGUGUGUGGUGAGAAAUCAAAUUGCGAGUCCAUGUCCCGAGCCAAUGGUCUAGAACUUGCCCUGAAUGUCUUUUAAGGCAAAAUCCUAAGCGGCCAUUGACUUGAGAAGUGAUUAUAUUCUCUCCUUAAUCCAGAUUAUUGUUUGAAUAAAUUCAUGGCCUACCAACGAUAAGAUCCCUAGUCUACCCUUUUGAGCCUUAGAUCCGCUUCUGUCAAGAACCAUAAUACAAGCCUAUAACUGUUUUCAAAGAUACCCUCUCUUGGCACCGUGACAUUAAGAAAAUCAAAGGCUUAUUGAAAGCGCUAAAAACGAAACAUUAGGCUACGAGCCUAUUUACGAAGCAAAAAAAUUGUUUUUGUUAGUUUAUAGUUAAGGGUACCUCAAGAAAAGCUUCACUUGGGCCUAGCACAUUUGCACCGCUUUUUUCAAGGGUACCUCAAGAAAAGACGUUAAGGGUACCUCAAGAAAAUCUUCACUUGGGCCUAGCACAUUUGCACCGCUUUUUUCAAGGGUACCUCAAGAAAAGAUCCCAAGUCAACCAUUUGAGCCUUAGACCUGCUUCUUUCAAGAACCAUAAUACAAGCCUAAGUUAGAUAGAUAUUUCAAAUCACUUGCUAGAUCCCUGAGGAAUUCGAUCUCGACCCUCAUAUCGGAUAAAAGCUAUUGCGACCCGCUAUUCUUACCUUGGUGUAGUGCCGAGUUGUCGUGAUCAUCUAUCCUCUUAGUGAGAUCCUCGAGCAUCUUCAUAAUUGCAGAAUCAGUCCUCGAUCUAUUGCCGUUCGACCUUUCUGGCACCGGCUCAGUACGACUGGUGCUUUCUUGUUAGACCACACUUAGUGAUUUAUGUUGACUUCGAAGCUAAGCGAUAGCAACCUGCUGAGCUUGUAGCAUUUCGAGUAUUUCCUAGAGACUAACUCCCCCAUCUCCUACGCCUUGUUUUCCUUGGACCCCAUAUCGGACUUCCCUACGUACACUUCCUCCGGGGUCCACGCCUAACUGUGUAUUCAAAGCAAUGUGUGAACGAACAUCGACUGGUUCUGCAAUCGGCACUUCCCCGGGGUUAAUUGGUAGCACGCCGGCUCCUGGAGAAACUACAUUAUCAUUUUUCCCGUGAAGUCCAAGACCAUCAUCGCCAUGUGCGGGUGCAUUUUGUGAGUUAAACAAGAUUCAACCUGUGAACAAAAACUCUUGACAAGAACAAGUGUGAAAAUAACGUGUGUUAUCAGAAUCAAUACUAAAACAGUCACAAUUAUCAUUAGCACCACGGUGGGCACCAAAUUAUUUACCCUAAAAUUUGAGUAACAAUUAAACUUGUACUGUGGUUUUAAUGAUAUGUGGUUUAAUCUAAUACUAAUUGAUAAGCAAAGACACUAAUGUAUUAAUUAAAGUGUAAGGAAGUCAAACCAACAUAUAAUCACACCUCGACCUCGACCUCGACCUCGAACAAUGCCAACCUCGAGAUAGGUGGAUAAGAACAAUGAGAUUCAAAUGAGCAGUAAGCAAGAAAGUAAUGUAGGUAUAUUCUCUUGUGAAUGAUUCCUCCAUUACAAAUUAUUAGGAUCCCCUUUAUAUAGUGGGGGAAUGCUAAAUAAGAUACAUUUCUAAUCAAAUUAUUAGGAUCCCCUAUAUAUAGUGGGGGAAUGCUAAAUAAGAUACAUUUCGAAUUACAAUAGAGAAUCUAUUUAUACACGUGUCUAAUCGCCCAGUACAAAUUCGUUCAGAAAUUUACGCCGUGAUCUUAAGGCAACCGCGGGAAUCGCGCUCUUUCUAUUAUAAAACCAUAACGAUAUUAUCUCUAGGUUGGUCAUAUUCGGUAUCGAUGUUCAUCGAGCACUUCACUCUUCGAGUCAUGUAUUCUGCCAUCAGGCUCGAUCCUGGUCCACAUUGAACUUGUUCUCGACCCGAGCCCUCGAAGCUACAAAAUCGGCAACACCUGAUUUUGUUCCUAUAAAGUUAUAACUAUUCUCGGCAAAACGUUCUCAAGAUACCAUCUACUUUAUUUUAACUAAGUUUCAAUAAAUGUUCGGGAGAUAUCCUUAUCGACCAAUAAAAGAAUAUAGUCGAUUAAAUAUGCAAUAUUAGACCAAACAACAACAGAACUAAGAAAAGUAUAAUGCAAAAAAUCUCAAUAUAAUGAGAACAAUGGAUGGAGAUCUCGAGGAUCUUACUUAAAUCAAAUAAUAAAUAAUACAAAUUAUUAAAACAAAAGAACAUUGAAUACAUAAUAAGUAAACCGGAUCAUUUCGGGAAGCAUGCAUCAAAUUUUGGCAGAGGAAAUGGAGUUGCUAAAAAUAAGAGGACAAAAGGAAUUAGAAGUCAUGGAAAUGGCAUAAAAUGACUGAAUAAUUAAUAUCAAUAGUAGGUUGAUGAAUGAGAUGCUGAUGGGGGUGGAGGUGAAGCAUAAAUGACGGAUUUCUCGUACUUCUCAAGUGGUAUAGGUGAGGCAUAGGUAGAAGUUUGCUUGUAAUAGUUUGCGGUUGGCGAGGGUGAAUAAUAAGAUGGUGAUUUUUCAUAGGCAAAUUGUAAGUUAUCGGCAAAUACACUUAGUAUUUUGGUGGAGGUGGAGGAGAUUUAUAGUAAGGUGUAGAUUCUUUUGUAGUAUGGUGGAGGUGGAGAUUUGUAAGAAGAUGGCGAUUGCUCAUAAUAUUUUGGUGGGGGUGGAGGUGAUUUGUAAUAAGGUGACUGCUCAUAGUAUUUUAGAGGAGGUGGAGGUGACUUGUAAUGCGAAGGUGAUUUUUCAUAAUAAGUUAGUGAUGGUGAAGACUUGUAG
rnacentral:lncRNA from 1 species